UACGUAGGGUGCGAGCGUUAAUCGGAAUUACUGGGCGUAAAGCGUGCGCAGGCGGUUUUGUAAGCCAGAUGUGAAAUCCCCGGGCUCAACCUGGGAAUGGCAUUUGGGACUGCAAGGCUCGAGUUUGGCAGAGGAGACUGGAAUUCCUGGUGUAGCAGUGAAAUGCGUAGAUAUCAGGAGGAACACCGAUGGCGAAGGCAGCUCGCUGGGACGGUACUGACGCUGAGGCGCGAAAGCGUGGGGAGCAAACAGG
rnacentral:rRNA from 1 species